rnacentral:rRNA from 1 species
GACGUAGGGCGCAAGCGUUGUCCGGAUUUAUUGGGCGUAAAGAGCUCGUAGGCGGCUUGUUGCGUCGACCGUGAAAACCCGCGGCUCAACUGCGGGCUUGCGGUCGAUACGGGCGAGCUGGAGUUCGGUAGGGGAGACUGGAAUUCCUGGUGUAGCGGUGAAAUGCGCAGAUAUCAGGAGGAACACCGGUGGCGAAGGCGGAUCUCUGGGCCGAUACUGACGCUGAGGAGCGAAAGCGUGGGGAGCGAACAGG